GCUUCUUUAGCUCAGCUGGGAGAGCGCGGCACUGAAGAUGCUGAGGUCGUGUGUUCAAUCCACACAAGGAGCA